ACAAAUUUUCCAACCUUAAAUGACAUUCUUUUUUUUUUAAAGGAAUGUUAUACCCCACAUUUUGCGAACUUUGUUUUACUUUUCAAAUUGAAGAUGUACGGGGAUGAUGGUUUCGUUUGAAACCUCCUUUCUUGUUUCUUCUUCAAUUUUUUCUUCUUUUUUUUUAAAACCCAAAUGAAACCCCUUUUUAGACUGAAACCUCUUUUUUGUUCUUAACGGAACGAAAAAAGAAAAAAGUUAAAUGAGAAAAA
rnacentral:misc_RNA from 1 species